rnacentral:rRNA from 1 species
UACGUAGGGGGCAAGCGUUGUCCGGAAUCAUUGGGCGUAAAGAGCGUGUAGGCGGCCUGAUAAGUCGGCUGUGAAAGUCAAGGGCUCAACCCUUGAAUGCCGGCCGAUACUGUCAGGCUAGAGUCCGGAAGAGGCGAGUGGAAUUCCUGGUGUAGCGGUGAAAUGCGCAGAUAUCAGGAGGAACACCGAUGGCGAAGGCAGCUCGCUGGGACGGGACUGACGCUGAGACGCGAAAGCGUGGGGAGCGAACAGG